rnacentral:rRNA from 1 species
GACGAACGCUGGCGGCGUGCUUAACACAUGCAAGUCGAACGGAAAGGCCCUGCUUGCAGGGUACUCGAGUGGCGAACGGGUGAGUAACACGUGGGUGAUCUGCCCUGCACUUCGGGAUAAGCCUGGGAAACUGGGUCUAAUACCGGAUAGGAGCCAUUUUUUGUGUGAUGGUUGGAAAGUUUUUUCGGUGUAGGAUGAGCUCGCGGCCUAUCAGCUUGUUGGUGGGGUAAUGGCCUACCAAGGCGGCGACGGGUAGCCGGCCUGAGAGGGUGGACGGCCACAGUGGGACUGAGAUACGGCCCAGACUCCUACGGGAGGCAGCAGUGGGGAAGAUUGCACAAUGGGCGCAAGCCUGAUGCAGCGACGCCGCGUGGGGGAUGACGGCCUUCGGGUUGUAAACUCCUUUCGCUAGGGACGAAGCUUUUUGUGACGGUACCUAGAUAAGAAGCACCGGCUAACUACGUG